CUCGCUAAUCAUAACUAAAAAAAGAAGUCGUUAGAUAUUACCUUUUAUUACUUAUCGCUCAAAACACAUUUAUGAUUCUUACAUGUCUUAAUUAUAAGUCGUGAAGAUGGGUUAAACUUAAGACUGAAUCCUCAUUUAAAAAUGUGUCUGCUGGCUAGUCGUAAGCAAAGACAAGAAAUAAAGCCCACGCACCACAGUCCAGGAAACCAAAAUGACCGACUCACAGCUUCCGCCCCCUUCCAUGAUGAUGUUACCUCCGAGCCGCGAACAUGACGCCACUUCCUGCAGCCAUCUUUGUUUUCUUUUUGUAUAAAUACCACCGUUUAUUGUUUUGUCAACGAAUGUCGUUUAAUUUU